GUAGGUGGCAAGCGUUGUCCGGAAUUAUUGGGGCGUAAAGCGCGCGCAGGCGGUUCUUUAAGUCUGAUGUGAAAGCCCACGGGCUCAACCGUGGAGGGUCAUUGGAAACUGGAGAACUUGAGUACAGAAGAGGAAAGCGGAAGUCCACGUGUAGCGGUGAAAUGCGUAGAGAUGUGGAGGAACACCAGUGGCGAAGGCGGCUUUCUGGUCUGUAACUGACGCUGAGGCGCGAAAGCGUGGGGAGCAAACAGGAUUAGAUACCCUGGUAGUCCACGCCGUAAACGAUGAGUGCUAAGUGUUAGGGGGUUUCCGCCCCUUAGUGCUGCAGCUAACGCAUUAAGCACUCCGCCUGGGGAGUACGGCCGCAAAGGCUG
rnacentral:rRNA from 1 species